rfam:Solanum tuberosum cultivar DM 1-3 516 R44 scf00374_33, whole genome shotgun sequence.
UCCUCAGUAGCUCAUAGGUAGAGCGGUCGACUAUUAACCGAUUGGUCGUAGGUUCGAAUCCUACUUGGGGAG